CCUAUCAACUUUCAAUGCCACCUUCUGCACCUACCAUGGUGACCACGGGUAACGGGGAAUCAGGGUUAGAUUCUG